AGAGGCGCUGGCGGCCAGCAUGGCGGCGGGCUGUGAGGGGGGAAACAGCACCGGGGAGCGGGGGCGCGCCGCUGGGUCCCGCAGCGCACCGGGAGGGAGGGACGGAGGAAGUUAUCAAUCCGCAGCCAGCAAAGCAAGCAAGGAGGGUAAAAUCCCCAGAGCUGCCUCUGUGAUUGGAAACUACCUGUCAAUGAAAGCCAUUGAAGAGAUCUUGCAAAUGAACAAAAUAAGGAGAAAUAA